CCCUGGAUGGUGCAAAAGGUUAGCACACUUGGCUGCUAACCAACAGGUUGGAAGUUUGAAUCCUCCCAGAGGCA
rnacentral:tRNA from 1 species